rnacentral:rRNA from 1 species
UACGUAGGGUGCAAGCGUUAAUCGGAAUUACUGGGCGUAAAGCGUGCGCAGGCGGCUUUGCAAGACAGAUGUGAAAUCCCCGGGCUUAACCUGGGAACUGCAUUUGUGACUGCAUGGCUGGAGUGCGGCAGAGGGGGAUGGAAUUCCGCGUGUAGCAGUGAAAUGCGUAGAUAUGCGGAGGAACACCGAUGGCGAAGGCAAUCACCUGGACCUGUACUGACGCUCAUGCACGAAAGCCAGGGGAGCAAACGGG